CGGCAAACGGGUGCGGAACACGUACACAACCUUCCUUUAAGUGGGGGAUAGCCCAGAGAAAUUUGGAUUAAUACCCCGUAACAUUAUUGAAUGGCAUCAUUUAGUAAUUAAAGUUCCGGCGCUUAAAGAUGGGUGUGCGUCUGAUUAGGUAGUUGGUGAGGGUAACGGCCCACCAAGCCUUCGAUCAGUAACUGGUGUGAGAGCACGACCAGUCACACGGGCACUGAGACACGGGCCCGACUCCUACGGGAGGCAGCAGUAAGGAAUAUUGGUCAAUGGACGCAAGUCUGAACCAGCCAUGCCGCGUGGAGGAUGAAGGUCCUCUGGAUUGUAAACUUCUUUUAUUUGGGAAGAAAUGCAUUUUUUCUAAGAUGUUUGACGGUACCAGAUGAAUAAGCACCGGCUAACUCCGUGCCAGCAGCCGCGGUAAUACGGAGGGUGCAAGCGUUAUCCGGAUUCACUGGGUUUAAAGGGUGCGUAGGUGGGCAGUUAAGUCAGUGGUGAAAUCUCCGGGCUCAACCCGGAAACUGCCAUUGA
rnacentral:rRNA from 1 species